rnacentral:miRNA from 1 species
CAGGUGAUCCCACAGGGGCCUUGUGAAAUUGCAGAUUGCUAUUACAUGGGUCCAGAGCAGGACCUGAGAUUCUGCAUUUCUAACAAGUUCCCAGGGAUUGCAGG